UCUGGGGAGUUGCCAUCAACCUUGAGCAACUGCACAGAUCUCAUAACACUUGACCUUAAGUGCAACAAUUUCAGUGGUGAACUCAACAAGGUCGGUUUCUCCAACUUCCCCAAUCUAAAAACCUUAGAUCUAAUGUGGAACAACUUCAGUGGCACAAUUCCAGAAAGCAUAUACUCAUGCAGAAACCUGAUUGCACUACGGCUGUCUUCAAAUAAGUUCCAUGGACAGUUAUCAAAAGGACUCAGCAAUCUGAAAUCCCUCUCCUUCCUGUCGCUCACAAACAACAGUUUUUCAAAUAUAACAAAUGCACUUCAGAUAUUAAGAAGCUCCAAGAACCUCACCACCCUUCUUCUUGGGUUAAAUUUCAUGAACGAGACCAUGCCAGACAAUGCCAGAAUUGAUGGUUUUGAGAAUCUUCGGGUUUUGGCCAUUACAGAUUGCUUAUUGUCGGGGGAAAUACCUUUUUGGAUAUCAGGGCUAGUGAAUUUGGAGAUGUUGUUUUUGCAAGGUAAUCGACUCACUGGACCAAUACCAGCCUGGAUCAAUACAAUGGAAUACCUUUUCUAUUUAGACAUAUCAAACAACAGCCUUACAGGAGAAAUUCCGACAACAUUAAUGGCUAUGCCAAUGCUAACUUCAGAGAAGACUGCAGCUCAUUUGGACCCAAGGGUCUUUUAUCUGCCAGUUUAUUCAGGUCCAUCACUUCAACGCCGCAUACCAAUUGCUUUUCCUAAAGCUCUAUACCUAAGCGGAAACAAAUUUACGGGUGUGAUUCCUCCAGAGAUUGGUCAUUUGAAAGCCCUCAUUUCACUCGAUAUCAGCUUCAACAACUUGACAGGACCGAUCCCCUCAUCCAUCUGCAAUCUCACAAACCUGGAGGUUCUAGAUUUAUCCAACAACAAUCUCACAGGUGAAAUCCCAGCUGUAUUGGAGAACCUGUACUUCCUUGCCGUAUUCAACGUUUCUAAUAAUAAUCUCCAAGGGCCUAUCCCAACUGGCAGGCAAUUUAAUACAUUUCCAAAUUCUAGCUUUGCUGGGAAUCCAAGGAUGUGUGGACCUGGGCUUAAUCACCAUUGUACUUCGGUAGAGGUAGGUCUUGCGCCCACUGGCUCCAGAGGACUGUGUGGUGGUGACAUCGUCUUCGCUGUAUCCUUCAGUGUUUUCAUUGGAGUAGGAGUGCUAUAUGAUCAGAUGGUACUAUCCAGAUACUUCGGCUAGGAAAAACUUGCUUCAGCAAUGUGUCCUGGAUUGAAGAAUGAAUAUAGGCACUGGAUGUAAUCAUGCAAAUGAAGCUCUCAGCAAACAACGGGAACUUUGUAAUAGUUAAUACUCAUAUAGAAACAUGACGUAAUCUCCAGUGCUUUUGCUUGAGCAAGUCCGACUUCGUUGCUCCAAAAACAUAAUCCUGCAAGCAAAUUCAGGAAUGGAGCGUUUACUGUCAGUAAACAGAGCAAUAUAUGUAUCUACAUCUUUUCCAGAGCACGGUAAAUAUUUUCAAAGUUUACUUUCACUUUUGGAACACACGUGCUAAUCAGAUUGCUUAUCGAGGUGAAAAUAGUUGCUUUUUACAGUACACUCUCAAAGAAAUUAGUAGCUCAGAUUGUUUGUUUGGGUGUAGACUACUAGUAGUAGCUUAUAAUCCAAACUUAUCAUCCUAAUAAUUUGUAGAGGCGUGAGAUAACCAGCCGGUUUGGUGUGUAUAGUGUGUCACUUAAUCGUACCAAAUUACCAAUUAUACAGGCAGGGCGAGCAAGAUGGAAAUUGACAUAAAACCAAAUUCUUCCAUUUGGCUCGAGAAUUUCAACAAACGGUCGGAAGCAUCGCGCAGACAAGUACCAAACCGUAAAUCUCCGUACGUAAAACUUAAGCUAGGAUCUUGCCGGUGAGCGAUUGCAAUCCUUUACCUUGGGAGGGAGCAGAGCGGAGAGGUCGCCGAACGUACCACGCCAUCGGGCGCCCUGCAAGAGCCCAGCACCCCCCCCCCCCCCCCCCCACCCCCCACCCCCCGCGCGCCCCCUCAGCCCCGGCCAUCGUACGCCGGCGCGAGUGCGCAUUUCUUCACCGCGCCGUCCCCCGCCGAUGCUGCUGCUCCGCUUUGGGACUUGGGAGGCGCCUGUGUGUUGGGACUUGGGAGACGAUGAUGAACUUGUGCCGGACCACGAUCGGGGCGGGGGGACCCAGACUGGGCCGUUUUAGAUAGCAUCUUUGUUCGGCCUGCGAGGCGAGUAUUUUGGGCUGCUGGUGGUCUCUCGUUACGGACUGGGCCGCUUGCGGAGCAGUUUGGUCAUGAGGAGCUUUUCUUUCUUUCAUAUUCUUUUUCCUUUUUCUGGGACCAUUGGCCAUCAAGCCUUCAUGAGUAUAAAUUAUUUGAAGCGUGACUUCAGCGAUUAUACUAGCGCCAAGAAACUAUUCUUCUACCAUGCAAUGCACCGUGAUCAAGAAACUAAAAUAGUACUGCCUCCCACGGAACUCCACAUUUGAAAUAAUAUAGUACUGCCUCAAUAGUACUGCUAGGACAACGUUUUACACAAUUCGCCCAUCUACCGUCUUCUGGUGCAAGUGGUGGCAUCCUCGUCGCGUGUAGAGGCCCGGAAAUCUCCUGCACCACCGUGCACAUUGGCCGGUUCUCUGUCACGGUUAACCUCACCCUGGGAGUGACGGAUGAACAAUGGAGUCUCACCACAGUAUAUGGGCCGCAACCGGAAGCUGACAAGAUCGAGUUCCUCGACGAACUUCGAUCCGUUCGCAACCUCGUUACGCCGCUAUGGGUUAUAACAGGAGACUUUAACCUGAUCCUAAAUGCUGCCGAUAAAAAUAACGAAAACCUUAACCGAAGAAAUAUGGGCCAUUUCAGGAGGUUUGUGGAUGAGAUGCAGCUGAAGGAUUUGUACCUACACGGACGACGCUUUACGUGGAGCAACGAGCGUUCGAACCCAACCAUGGCUAAACUUGACAGAGUCCUAGCGUCAGUAGAGUGGGAGAUGAAGUUUCCUGGUGCUUUUUUACAAGCGCUAUCUUCAGAUAUGUCUGAUCACUGCCCUCUCCUCCUAGCGACAAAUGCCUCCUUCAGUGCCAAGCCUCGAUUCCACUUUGAAGCCUGGUGGAUCAAGCUACCAGGGUACUUGGAUGCGGUGCAACGUGGUUGGAAGUGCCCCCAUACAGUUUCAGACCCCUUCACCAUUCUUGACCUUAAGCUGAAAAGCACGGCGCGCGAGUUGCAAAGUUGGAGCCAAUGUUGUGUCGGCCAAAUCAAAUCACAACUCUUACUAGCCAGAACCUUGGUCUCCUGGUUGGACAGGGCGCAGGAGGGGCGCCAACUCACAACUAGUGAAGCGAAUCUGAGGAAUGAACUAAAAUGCAAAAUCCUCGGUCUGUCUUCCCUCGAGAGGACAAUGGCAAGAUUAAGAUCAAGAAUGAUCUACCUGAGAGAUGGGGACGCUAAUACCAAGUUGUUCCAUAUGCAGUGUGGCCACAGAGCUAAGAAAAAGUUCAUCCCCCGACUGGAAUACAAUGGUGUCCUGGCACUCACACAUGAUGAAAAGGAACUAAUGUUCCACAAAUAUUUUUCCGAAAUAUUGGGUUCCCAUGUGCAAAGAACAGACUUCGUCAACUUGCCUGCCCUGGGUUUCCUACCAACAGACCUUCAUCACCUAGAGGUUCCUUUCACUGAAUCUGAAAUCUGGAGCACAAUUAAAAUGAUGCCUAAUGAGAGAGCACCGGGGCCUGAUGGGUUCAUUUCAGAAUUCUAUAAGUCUGCUUGGUCUGUGGUAAAGGCUGACGUUCUGGCUGCUUUCAACGCCUUCUAUAGGACUUCCUGUGCACAACUUCACAAGUUAAACGGGGCCCUGAGGAUGCUAGAAAACCAAGAGAGUACAGGCCUAUAAGCCUCAUACACAGUUUUGCUAAGCUGGUUGCUAAACUCCUAGCUAACAGAUUAGCCCCUGAACUCAGUAAGCUGGUGGACGUUAACCAAACUGCUUUCAUCAAGCAACGGUCUAUUCACGAUAAUUUCAAAUUUGUUGAACAGGCUGCUAGGACUUUGCACAGGAAAAAGAAACCCUCCUUGCUGAUCAAACUGGAUAUUGCAAAGGCAUUCGACACAGUAAGCUGACCCUUCUUGCUGCAAGUGUUAGAAUCCAUGGGUUUUGGGCUUAGGUGGAGGAAUUGGAUAUCAGUCCUUAUCUCAUCAGCCUCUACGAGGGUACAACUCAAUGGAAGACCAAGACCCAUAAUUCAUAAUGCUAGAGGUUUAAGACAAGGUGACCCACUAUCGCCAAUGCUCUUUAUUCUCACCAUGGAAGUCCUCAACCGGCUACUGAAGAAAGCUGCCCAGGAUGGUGUCCUUGCCCCACCAGCUGACAAUGCCAUACAUUACCAAUGCUCUAUCUAUGCUGAUGAUGUGAUUCUCUUCGCAGCACCAAGUGUUCAGGAUGUCACCACUAUCCAGGAGGUGCUCAGGUUCUUUGGACGAGCAUCUGGACUUCAUACUAACCUAGGCAAGAGCUUGAUAACCCCCAUCUCAUGUUCACAGGAACAGCUCGAUAGAAUUCAGCCUAUCCUACCGAUCCCCAUCUUAGAUUUUCCCAUCCUUUAUCUGGGGCUGCCUCUAUCAGUCACGAAACUGAAGAAAUGUCACUUUCAACCUUUGAUUGACAAGGUUUCAGCAAGCAUGCCAGCUUGGAAGGCACCUUUAAUGAAUAAAGCCGGAAGGCUUACCACAGUGAAGGCGGUAAUGAGCUCAAUCACAGUCCAUACCUUCAUCUCUUUGAAAGUUCCAGAAUGGGUAUUGCAGGAAAUUGACAAGAGACGUCGGGGCUUCCUCUGGGCCGACAAGCCUGCAGCGUAUGGUGGCCAUUGCCUGGUGGCCUGGCCAUAUGUCUGCAGACCGCUCGCUUAUGGAGGGUUGGGCAUCCCCGACUUGCGCAUCGCAUCGCUAGCCUUGAGAAUGAGGUGGCUAUGGCUGAAGAAAACGGAUCCUGGUCGUCCAUGGAAACAUAUGCAGCUCGACUUCGAACAGGAUAAUGAUCUGAAAAAACUGUUACAAGCUUCGAUUCAGGUACAAGUAGGAGAUGGCAACUUAGCGUUGUUUUGGGUCGAUAACUGGAUGGGUCAGGCCUCGUCGUGUACCUUGGCUCCGGAAUUGUGCAACUUGAUCAGGCCAUGAAUCAAGAAUCGACGGACAGUAGCGCAGGGGAUGCACCAAAAGCAAUGGAUUCAUGAUAUUGUCGGACACCUAACCGUAACUGCGUUAACUGAAUACGUCACCUUAUGGCAUCACUUACAGCAGGUUCAGUUAACGCCCGGGGUUGAAGAUUCGGUGACUUGGAAAUGGGAUAUCUCUGGUUCUUACUCCUCUAAAUCGUUAUGCAAGUUCUUCUACAGCACCUCCGUCAAGUUUGCUGCAGCAGAACCGAUUUGGAAGGCUUGGGCACCAUUGAAAGUGAAGGUAUUCAUGUGGUUAGCUGUCAAGAAUCGGCUCUGGACAGCUGCUAGGAGGCAGAGGCGAGGAUUGCAAGAUCAUGCGUGCUGUGGCCUGUGUGACCAGGAAUCAAAGACUGCAGAUCACCUCUUCUCCAGGUGCCCAUUCUCUAUGCAACUGUGGCAUCAAGUCAGUGCAGUACUGAACCUGCACAACGCCAUCCCGGCAAUGAAGUCGAACUGCUAGACUGGUGGCUCAGCAAGAGAAGCGGUGUCCAUUCCGGGCAAACAAAAGGCUUCGAUUCAGCGUUUAUGCUUGUUUCAUGGAAAAUAUGGAAGGAACGCAAUGAAAGGGUGUUUGCAAGAUCACCACCAAAGGAUGCCUCACAACUGCUGCAGGAGAUCAUUCAGGAAGGGCAACUCUGGUGCAAAACACCUAGCUGCCAUAGGCUGGCCGAUACCAUCAGGUGUUUUAGAUCAGCAUUUCUGAUUUCGGCCUUUCUGUGCCAUUUGUGUUGUCGUUGCGGUGGUGUAAUGUAAGCUAAAACAUGCCUAAACCCGUGUGCGUGCGCCCGGAUAGGCCCGUGAUGUACAAAACUUUUUCUUCUUAAUACAAAGAUACACAGCUCUCCUGCGUAUUCACGAAAAAAGAACAUAAAAUACACUAUCGUGCACGAUAUUAAAAUGAAUUAGCGGGAGAAAACCAAAACAACACGUUUUAGUUCAAAUGAACUAGCAAGAGAGCUAACUGUGGCGCCCUCAGCUCCAUCUCCAUCUGCACUGUCUCCUUCUCCUCCGGUUUUGUGGCGCCCGAGCCAUGACCGGCGUGCGCCUCUACUCCGCCCUGAUGACACACCCCUCUGCUCCGCCUGGGCGACGCCCAUCUGCUCCGCCCGGCGGCUUCCUACUGGCGUGGAGGAGCGCAGGGAGGGGAUGGGGCAAGCUUGACCGCGGCUCCCAACCGACGCAAAGGAGCGCGGGGGCGGGGGUGGGGCCGCAGGGGAGCUCCUCCACUCCAAAUCUCCCCCACCGGCGCAACACCCCUCCUCCCUGCCAAAUCUCGCCCGCCACCGCCCCUCCUCAGCCCCUUCGACAUCCGGCGCUGCACCGCCGUAGGAGCGUGAAGCUCCCCGACGUCCCCUCCUCUGUCGGUCUCACCUCCAGCCGCUCCCGUCCUUCCCUCUCCCUGUUGAUCUUGCCUUUCGACCGUCGAGCAAUGGCAAAGGCCAACAAAUCCAGCCACCAUACAAGGUUGAAGAAAAGCCUAACAUAUAAACCCUACAGAAUAGACACUCUAUCCCACCAUUCCAAAAGUUAGGUUGCCAGCUUUCAGAAAGCCACCUUUACAGAGAGCAAAAGCCAAAAGCUCUUUCUGGAAAGUUCAAACAACAUGAGGAAGAGUGAGCUCAAAUGGCCAAAAUAGCAACCGGUCGCGAAAACACAGAAAACCGCGCACACCGGUACAACACGUCGAUCACGCGUUCCAACACGUGGCCUGAUGGAAGUUGAGUACACUAUUGUAUUCGUGCAAUGACUGUCGAUUUUCACUGGACCAAACCAGAGCUGCGGUACUUGCCCGCACGUCAGUACAACAGCUGUCCGUUCCGUUCCGGCCGCCCACGGGACCGGACGGAUAAAGCAGUGUAAUAUUCCUCUGUCCAACCGUGAAUGCAAUUCUAAAUAAUGCAAUUCUAACUACGUAUUUAGAAUUGCACUUUUCCCGGAACGGUAUUUGAAUUUGCACGCCUUCGUGUUUUUGCGUUGUGGUGGGGUCAAAAGUCUUGCGUUGUUCUCGAGUCGUGCUGUUGCGUUGCGGUGGGGGUCAAGCCUCGAAGUCUGAACCCGCAAUUAUGGACGUCGCCACCUCGCUCUUCCCCGUUUGCAGCCCGUUUUCAGAGCUCAGACUUUGAAGAUAACUUUGAAGAUACGAGACGGAAAGGGAGAACGCCUUUUCUCCUUUUUAUUUUCCUUUCCUGGAAUCCUGAAUCGACGACGAACACGACGGGAACCCCGAACGCGACACGGACAACGCGUCCGUCCGUCCGUCCGUCCCUCCUCGUCGCCGUCGGUUUGGCGUCGCCGGUUGGCGGUGUGAACCAAGACCGAGGCAGGCGGCUAGGCGCUGGCCACGUGGAGUGCGGGGCCCGCGUCCACGCACACGCGCACGCCGUUGCCGUUGCCGUGGCUGCUACCCGCCCGCCGCCUCGCGUUCUCCUCGUCGGGUCCGGACGCGUACGGCACACGCUGCGACUGACUGACCUGCUGGCUCUGGCUGGCUGCAGGAAGCAGAAGCCCAAGCCCACACGCCCUCACACUGUCUCUUGUCUCUUCGACUCUUCCAUGUUUUUGCUAUGCUCCCGUUGGCUCCGAACCUGAUAUAAAAUUGUGAAAGACAUAUAGAUUACGAAUAUUAUUAUGAGAGAAAUAAACAAACAAGUGCGAAGAGAAGAAACAAACCGAGUCCUACUGUGCAGAAACAAACAGAGAGGGAUACAACGCCAGCUCAGCAGCUUCGUCCCAGUGUAUCAAACUUUUGCGAUUUCGUUCUUCAGAGCCUGGACAGUGCUUAGUGCCACCCACUUUGCUGUUCUGCGAUCAACACCUCAAGGAGUAUAUUAGGCAACUCCAUUAGUUUAGGAUUGAUUGCAAUCCCAGGAUAAUCUUCCUUUAUCUCUAGGAGAGGCUACUUACCCUCCAAGCUAUGUACUCCUAUAUAAUCGUUCAAAAGGCUCAAGCAACAUAUCCCACGCAUUAUACACAAUUUUACAUGGUAUCACGAGUCUAGGUUACAAAACCUAGGCCUCCAGCUUUCGCUGCCCUCGCGCCGCCCCCGGGGAGAUCAAUCUCCGCCGGGAGCAGCACCCUCGUAGGAUGCGCGGCCGAUCCCUCUGAUUCGCCGUGCCGAUCAUGGUCAAGCAGCAAGUAGAUCGCCCCUCCACUCCUCCUGGCCAUGGCGGCCCCCGGCUACGGCGGGCGUCCCUCCAGGCCGCGCCCCAACGACGGCCCCUGGCGACGGCGGCGGGCGGCCCUCUACUCCUCCAGGCCGUGGCGGCCCCCGGUAGCGGCGGGCGGUCCUCUACUCCUCCAGGCCUCAGCGGCACCCGGCGGUAGCGGGCGCCCCUCUAGUCGCAUCCUAGCGCCACCCCCGACCGCCCCCUCCCCCAACGCUCCGUCGGCACCCUCGACCGGCGCAUCCCGCGGCCCCGACCUCUCCCGACCGCUCCGUCGGCACCUCCGACCGACACAUCCGACUGCACCGACCAGCAUGGAUCGGAGACGCCAGAUCCGACCUGUUCUCCGCCAGUCAGACGGUUCUCCGUGGACCUCUUCCUGCUGCUGCUUUUCUUUUUUCCCGAUCAAGAUCAGGUGCGUCGCCUACUGUCCCGUCGUCGACACUCCCGAAGAUGAGGUUGUCGUUGCGCCCUUCAGGCUGCUACGGCAACGCUCGUGAUCAAGCCAUCCUCGUCGGCAACGCCGCCUUUUUAGACGGUGGCGCCACCCAUGCUGGUAGUCCUCAUCACGCUGACUCUCGGUCCGAGUCCGCACCUAUUGCCACACGCUCACGGACACCGCCGCCGACGUUGCUGAAGGAAGAUGCAAUUGCGCUCUUUAGCUGCACCAUCUACCAUCGCGCUCGGCUCAUCGUCCUGCUGACACUGUCGACAAGAAGCUGCUGCUUUUGUGUAUUUGGGCGCCUUCACUGAUGCUUCGGACCCGUGCCCUUCUCCACGGCUUCGACCACGUCCACCUCGAUCUCGGCUACUUCAGCACUAAGGGGCUACCAUCUGCUUGAGAAGCCUCUUCAGCUCCUAUUCCAGCCACAACAUUUGUGGCGCAUUAACGGUUGCGAUUGCGAGGGGAUGUCAUCUCUUCGGCUUAUUCUCUAGUCUCAUCGUCUGCGUGCUCCCGUUGUGACUGCGAGGGGAUGUUAGAGUAUAUUAGACAACUCCAGAUAUGGUUAGUUUAGGAUUGAUUGUAAUGCUGGGAUAACCUUUCUUAUCUCUAGAGAGGCUACUUGCCCUCCAAACCAUGUACUCCUAUAUAAUCAGCCCAAGAGGCAACAUAUCCCCCGCAUUAUAUGCAAUCUCUAUUGCUUACACAGACACCCGUGAUGGCAGGCUAUCAUAUAACCACCACUAAAAACCAAUAUGAAAUGCGCAACUGCGCCCACUAAGCAAGUAGUAAGCACCAUCAACAUAAUCACUCGACUAAUAACUAGAAUAUGACUACACACCAAAAAGAAGGAAACAGAGAGAUUUUUAGCAUCACUACCUGAAUAAAUCUGAUUGAUAUGCCAUCUUCACAGGAUCAGACAUUCAGGCUAUCCACACCACUCUUCAAAUCACAAUCAUCUUUAUCUUUCCCAAUCCACCAGAAAUCACACGCUGUCCAGUACGCUCUUCGAUCGACUCUUGAAUUCCCGGUCAGCAAGAAGAGCCAAGGUCCAUCACGCACCUGUGGAAGAACCGGGGCCAUGGAAGGCAGCUGCGAGCGUACGCGUCACUGCAUCAGCAGCAAGGAUUAAGCACAAAGCAAACGCCUCGGGCCAAGGCAAAGUCGACGAAUUGAAUCAGACGACCAAGAAUAGGGGCGCCAGGUCACCCUCACCCACCACCUACUAUUACCCUGCGCCUUUUUCUUAUUUUCUUGCCUCCACCUGGGCCUUUCAUUUUCCAAGCAAUGUCCACACCUUGACCGCGACGCCGAUGAUUGCUCUAAAGUAUUGUACGUGCCUCCUGGAAAUGAUGCUCUCCGUGUACUGAAUCUUGCAGAUCUUCAGUUUCUUUCGAAAAAUUCGCUCCUUUUCCUGUUCACCAAAAAGGGUGCAUCAUCCUACAAAAUAAAUAGUGCAUCACAGAGUGAUCCUUUGUCAGUACUAAUACUAUGGUUAAGACAACAGGUUCGUUAAGUGAAGCUGGUAGGACAAGUGAUGGCAGAUCAUGUGAUCAGGUAAAAUAAGGCAGGCUGUGCGUUAUGUGUGAACAUGGUAGGACAAGUGACGUCACUAUAUCAGAUCAGGCAAAUCACGGCAGUGAUUCAACAAGGAUUGAUUCAAGGAUGACUAGAAAAAGCAAAUAUUUCGUAGGGUCAGUUGGACUUCUUUUAUGGAUUACAGCAGGUAGCCACCAGUGAAGCAAUACAAGUGUGAACAACAAACUGCUGCUUUGUCUAUUCUAUACUGCAUUAAAAACGUACAAUGAUACUGAGGAUUCUCCUAUAGUAGCAUAUGAUCCUUGACUUCAUUUUUUCUUUGUAGUGACCACGACUAGAAGGGAUCAGCAAGAUGGAGGCAGGAGCCACCUCCUUCUUCUACCUUAUGCUCUUCCCUGAUUAGACUCAGAACAUUGGUAUCUCAUCUAGACAGGAAACAAGUUAAGCGUCUGGUUUCCAUGCUACUUUCAACAGGAAGCCAUGCAGCCACUCCAAUUUCCAUACAAGAACUACAGCAGUAGGUUACCCAUACCUUCCCUUGGCUUUGCUGCUCUGCUGCUGAUCUCUUUGGCCACCCUCACCAGCUCUUGCACAGAGCAGGAGAAGAACUCCCUCCUCCAGUUCGUCUCUGGGCUCUCACAGGAUGCUGGCCUUGCAAAGUUAUGGCAGGAAGACACAGAUUGCUGCAAUUGGGAAGGCAUCACCUGCAACGGAAACAAAACAGUUAUUGAUGUCUCUCUAGCAUCUAGAGGCCUUGAGGGGCACAUAUCACAAUCCCUUGGGAACCUCACCGGACUGCAGCAGGUUAACUUGUCCUACAAUUCGCUGUCUGGUGGCCUGCCGCUGGGAUUGGUGUCAUCCAGCAGCAUCAUUGUCCUCGAUGUGAGCUUCAACCAGCUCAACGGAGACCUGCACGAGUUGCCUUCUUCAAUCCCUGGACGGCCUCUACAGGUACUUAAUAUCUCAAGCAACUUGUUUACUGGGCAGUUUGCAUCCACUACAUGGAAGGGGAUGCAGAAUUUGAUUGCACUCAAUGCCAGCAACAAUAGCUUUACUGGGCAUAUUCCAAGUCAUUUCUGUAACAUAUCACCAUCCUUUAGUGUGCUUGAACUCUCUUACAACAAACUCAGUGGUAGUAUCCCCCCAGGACUCGGUAAUUGCUCCAAACUCAGAGUGCUCAAGGCUGGGCACAAUUACCUCAGUGGGACGCUCCCUGAAGAACUCUUCAAGGCUACCUUGUUGGAGCAUCUUUCUUUUUCCAGCAAUGGUUUACAAGGGAUACUUGAUAGCACACAUAUAGUCAAACUCGGAAAAAUGGCCAUCCUUGAUCUUGGAGAAAACAAAUUCAGCGGAAUGAUUCCGGACUCCAUAGGUCAGCUCACGAGAUUGCAGGAACUCCAUUUGGACUACAACAGCAUGUCUGGGGAGCUGCCAUCAACCUUGAGCAACUGCACAAAUCUCAUAACACUUGACCUUAAGAGCAACAAUUUCAGUGGUGAACUCAACAAGGUCGGUUUCUCCAACUUCCCCACUCUAAAAACCUUAGAUCUUAUGCGGAACAACUUCAGUGGCACAAUUCCAGAAAGCAUAUACUCAUGCAGAAACCUGAUUGCACUACGGCUGUCUUCAAAUAAGUUCCAUGGACAGUUAUCAAAAGGACUCGGCAAUCUGAAAUCCCUCUCCUUC
rnacentral:lncRNA from 1 species